rnacentral:rRNA from 1 species
CAGCAGCCGCGGUAAUACGUAGGGGGCUAGCGUUGUUCGGAAUUACUUGGCGUAAAGCGCACGUAGGCGGCUUGGUAAGUUAGAGGUGAAAGCCCGGAGCUCAACUCCGGAAUUGCCUUUAAGACUGCCGAGCUAGUAGGUGAGAGAGGUAAGUGGAAUUCCGAGUGUAGAGGUGAAAUUCGUAGAUAUUCGGAAGAACACCAGUGGCGAAGGCGGCUUACUGGCUCAUUCUAGACGCUGAGGUGCGAAAGCGUGGGGAGCAAACAGGAUUAGAUACCCCCGUAGUCCCUGUCUCUUAUAC